GUAACGGAAGCGGAAAUAGCACAACGGCCGGAUAAGGAAGUGAUAUUGGAAUUUGUGAAAACGUACAUCGAUCUCAUACACAACCAGUGAGGUAGCUACCGUCUUCGUGGUUGGAAACGGGCACAACCCGUAUACCUUCAGAAACAAGGUGCCUCAAGUUGUAGAAAAGUCAAGGAUGAUCAAUGGAAACAGGAUGCACCUGAGCUCAAUUGAGUGUCAUAGCAAAGGGUGUAAAUACUUAAGGUAUUUCCGUUUUUAUUUUUCUAAAUUAGCAAACAUUCCUAAAACUUUUUUUGCUGUGCCAUUAUGGGUAUUGUGUAGAUGAAACUCUGUGGAUUCAACAUGGCGAAUGACAACUUCGAGCAUCGAUUUGACUGAGGAAGGUACUUCUGUACCUCCCCAUUACGAUUCUAGCCAUGCAUUAUAUAAAUGCCAAUUCAUGGAGGGAGAUUGCAGAGACGCUUGGGUCCGACCCAACCACUAGUCUGAAAAAGUGGGGUAGGAUUCGUGACGACAAGUUCGUCAAGACAAAGAAAAGAAAGGGCCACAGUGGAGAUUCCGGAGGAAAGGCUUCUCCAGAAAUGUUGCUGCUGGCUUGUUUGGCAUGUGGAGCAUGGGAAGACUGAAAGCAACAUGCCGUCUUCACCAAAGAAUGAGGCUCAAACAUCAGUGAAUGGAGACAGCACCUGGUUUUGUUCUCUGCGCCCAAGCACUACCUCAGUACUGGGGACAGACUGGUCAUCGGCCCCUGCACUAAGCUGCAGUGCAGAAUUAGAAACCAUCUCCAUGCAGGACCUGGCAAGCUCUAUCCUGGGCUCACCUCCAAUACCUGCUCCACUGGCUUGCUCUUCACCGACGCCACAGAGCAGUAGCAGGGGUGAGAAGGGAGAAAAGAGCUGCAGACUAAGCCCUUGACACUUAUGAGACCAGCCACCUGGACAGCUGAUGGAACAGGAGUAUUUCCGUCUGUAAUAAAUCCCUUUUUGAGGGGAAAAACUCAUUCUCAUUGGCUGGGCCUGGCUCCCAAGUGGGUGGGCCUAUGCCCACCCAUGGCAACACCCCUGCCCAGACAUGUUAAAUCUAUAGAUUAAGGCCUAAGGAGUUUUUUAAUUGACAGAUUUUUGUAUGAACAGUAAACCCAGU
rnacentral:lncRNA from 1 species